UACGGAGGGUGCGAGCGUUGUCCGGAUUUAUUGGGCGUAAAGAGCGUGUAGGCGGCCAGGUAGGUCUGCUGUGAAAAACUCGAGGCUCAACCUCGAGACGUCGGCGGAAACCAUCUGGCUAGAGUCCGGAAGAGGAGAGUGGUAAUCCUGGUGUAGCGGUGAAAUGCGCAGAUAUCAGGAAGAACACCCGUGGCGGAAGGCGGCUCUCUGGGGACGGUACUGACGCUGAGACGCGAAAGCGUGGGGAGCAAA
rnacentral:rRNA from 1 species